rnacentral:rRNA from 1 species
GUGGGGAAUUUUGGACAAUGGGCGCAAGCCUGAUCCAGCAAUGCCGCGUGCAGGAAGAAGGCCUUCGGGUUGUAAACUGCUUUUGUACGGAACGAAAAGGCUCUGGUUAAUACCUGGGGCUCAUGACGGUACCGUAAGAAUAAGCACCGGCUAACUACGUGCCAGCAGCCGCGGUAAUACGUAGGGUGCAAGCGUUAAUCGGAAUUACUGGGCGUAAAGCGUGCGCAGGCGGUUUUGUAAGACAGAGGUGAAAUCCCCGGGCUCAACCUGGGAAUUGCCUUUGUGACUGCAAGGCUGGAGUGCGGCAGAGGGGGAUGGAAUUCCGCGUGUAGCAGUGAAAUGCGUAGAUAUGCGGAGGAACACCGAUGGCGAAGGCAAUCCCCUGGGCCUGCACUGACGCUCAUGCACGAAAGCGUGGGGAGCAAACAGGAUUAGAAACCCUUGUAGUCC